UAUAUGAGGGUGUAAAGCAUAUUAGAUUUUGAUUCUAAAGGUUAUUCAUAUAUAUUAUGAAA
rnacentral:tRNA from 1 species